rnacentral:misc_RNA from 1 species
CACUUGGUGUCGUUUGUAACGGACGUUUAAUUUUCAGGCGAAUUUUUCAGAAAAAUAGCAAUGAGUUGCCCUCAACUAAAGUACAUCUUUGCCAUCCUGCUACUUCAUUCUGUGUAUUCAAGUCGAGAAGAACCGAUCGUUAAUGUCCCAUCAUUGGGGCGUCUCCGUGGAUCGCGAAUGUCGUCUGCGUCUGGCCGAAUGAUAGACGCUUUCAGAGCCAUCCCCUACGCCCAGCCACCUGUUGGAGACCUCCGUUUCAAAGAUCCCCUUCCAGCAAAGGAUUGGCAAGGCACCACACUUGACGCCAGCCGAGAAGGACCCAAGUGCAUUCAAUUCAAUUCCAUCGUGCAAGAUGGACUCGUUCUUGGACAAGAGGAUUGUCUUUAUCUCAACGUCUACGUACCUCAAGUGAAUGGGACGAAUGAUCCCCUUCCAGUCAUGGUAUGGAUUCAUGGCGGAGCUUUUUACAUGGGAAGUGGAAACGGCGAAACAGACAUGUUUGGACCAAACUAUCUUCUCGAUCGCGAUGUCGUCUUGGUCACUUUGAAUUAUCGUUUGGGACCCCUCGGUUUUCUCAGCACUGAAGACGCUCAAGCUCCGGGAAAUUACGGACUUCUCGAUCAAUCAUUGGCACUGAGGUGGGUGCGGAAUCACAUUGCCCAUUUUGGUGGAAAUGCAGACCUCAUUACCAUAUUCGGCGAGAGCGCAGGUGGUGCUAGUGUAGAUUUUCACGUCUUGUCACCCUAUUCAAAAGGCCUUUUCCAUCGAGCCAUAAUUCAGUCCGGUACAUCGACAUGCCCAUGGGCGUUGAAUCCGAAGAUUGCGGAAUAUACCAGGAUGCUUGCCAAUCAUCUCAACUGCCCGUCGGAUGCUUCCCGUGAGUUACUGGCCUGUCUGAGGACUAGGAAAGCUGAAGAAAUUGCCGGAAUUAGAAAGCACUUAACCAUCGGACUGGGUUUUGGAAUGUUCCCUUUGGCUUUUGUACCUCGGAUUGACGCCGAAAGGAGUUUGCCUUUCGUUCCAGCCUAUCCAGAGGAACUCAUUGCCGAGAGAAAGUUUAAUCAAGUACCUUUGAUUUUGGGUGUCACUAAAAACGAAGGAGCCCUCGUUAGUGCAUCUUUUUUUGUGAAUGAUGACAAACACAUGGACGAGUUCAAAGCCGAUCCUAUCGGCAUAAUCCGCUACAUGAUCCAAAUGGAAAAUCAUCCGAAUGGUCAGCAAAUGGCUCAAUUGGUGCACGAUCAUUUGUUCACUCUUCAAAAGCCCUACGAAGAUCAAAAACAGCAAAUAGAACUGAUCGCUUCAGAUUAUGGACUUUUCAAAUGCACCGAUGAUUCAGUCGCCUUAUUCAGCGAGUUUAAUAGUCAAUCCACUUAUUACUAUUUCUACACGCACCGGGGUCAAUUUUCGUUUCCCCAGAUGGUCGGAGUUCCACCUGAAAUUGAUCUAGGUGUUUGUCACGCCGAUGAACUUUUUCUGUUGUUCAGCUCCGGAUUGUUGCCGAGGUUGAGCGUUCCAGAAGACUUGAAAGUUUCCGCAACGUUGAUCGAUUUAUGGACAUCGUUCGCUAAAAAUGGAGUUCCUGUGAGUAGCCAUGUAGACGAUGAUUGGCUUCCAGUUGAGCAAGGAGCGAUACGUUACUUGGAUAUUAAAGAGAGACCCACCUUUGUCAAUGGUAAAAUGCCUUUCGAACCGAGGCUUGCGUUUUGGAACAACAUCAAAGCUGCUAAUCGCAUCAUCACCAAGGAUGAAUUGUGAAACCUCUUCAUUUAUUCCAACUGUUUGUGUAUUCACGUAGGUCAAACUAGAUUAGAGUCGAAAUUUGUUUUGAAAAGAAUAAUCAUCCCUUUUCGAUUAAAGUUGCACGUCGUUUGAUUUUGAGCGGAAAUGUUGUUAAUGGACUGUAACUAAAUGAGGAAUUCAGGCGUAAAGGGCCUUGCUUAAUCAAGUGAUGAAAUAAAUAUCUUGAGACGCUAAA